GGUUAAGCGACUAAGCGUACACGGUGGAUGCCCUGGCAGUCAGAGGCGAUGAAGGACGUGCUAAUCUGCGAUAAGCGUCGGUAAGGUGAUAUGAACCGUUAUAACCGGCGAUUUCCGAAUGGGGAAACCCAGUGUGUUUCGACACACUAUCAUUAACUGAAUCCAUAGGUUAAUGAGGCGAACCGGGGGAACUGAAACAUCUAAGUACCCCGAGGAAAAGAAAUCAACCGAGAUUCCCCCAGUAGCGGCGAGCGAACGGGGAGCAGCCCAGAGCCUGAAUCAGUGUGUGUGUUAGUGGAAGCGUCUGGAAAGGCGCGCGAUACAGGGUGACAGCCCCGUACACAAAAAUGCACAUACUGUGAGCUCGAUGAGUAGGGCGGGACACGUGGUA
rnacentral:rRNA from 1 species